rnacentral:lncRNA from 1 species
CACACUGUGUUCCUUAACCAAAAGACUCAGCACACAUUCUUCCGUGGCUUCAUCUUCACAUACUCCCCCACCCUUUCUUCUUUCCUUUUUCUUUAUGGUCGUACCAGACGAAGCUAUUGACUACAGCGACCAGCCAUCAAUACCGCUAUUGAUUUAGCAACCAAGUUGUAAUCUGCCAUCAAUAACAUAGGACCACUUGAAUGUACAUAAAACAUGCCCUUAUUUCAUUCACUCUCCUACGAAACACUGAAGUACUUGCAAGUUGGAAGAAGCGCAUGCAUGCGUGCUUAAGCUAUAUGAGGACAGCAGAAUAUAGCUCAACUUCUACUGCAUAAGUUGCUUACCAUUCAUUUGUGAGCAGUAGAAGAUGAAUCAGUGUCGGAACAACUCAAUUUUGUAAGGGAGAUUUAUCUUUUGACUUAGACCAUGUGUGAAAUUGGAGCUUAGUGAGAGCUUCACAGUAAGCAGCAUUCGACAUGUUUGCGAAAAUGACUCCUGCGCGAGUGCUGCGACACACACAGCUCAUAGAAAUGGUUGGUCGCUAGUCCUAAUCAAUGACUCAUGCUUUGUCUUCUUACAUACCAAGCAAAUAGAUCUUAUCACCGAGAGUCUUGUUCCUUUGUGAGCACUGAAAGAGAAGUGUAAAAACAUGAAAUGACCAAGUUAGCUACGCUUGUUGAUCCAUCCAGUGCGAGAGCUUGGCCUUGGUGGAGAAGAAGCUGAAAGAGAUGGUCAUACCUUACAUCCAGAAUCGAGUGGAGGAAGGUGGGAUCUACGUGGACCAAUUAUUUUUCCAUGACCCGGAUGGCUUCAUGAUCGAGAUCUGCAACUGCGAGAACCUCCCGGUGAUCUCACUUUCCGGGGAACCCAUUAUGGCCUGCAAGAGAGUCGUCAGCUUCACUCCGCAGCAACAGCAGCAGCAACAGUAUCUCCCGCAAGCCAUCCAUGUCAAGGAGGAGCCCUGCGCAUGAAGAAGAAUGAUCGAGCAUCUCCUCCAUCUCUUUCGGUUUGCUUGCUUUAGUAUGUAUGGUGUUCUGUCGCCAGGACGACAUGGCUUCUUGUGCCUU